rnacentral:rRNA from 1 species
ACCUCGGGAAACUGAGUAUAAUACUCGAUAGAUCAUUAUGCCUGGAACGGUUUAUGGUUCAAAUGAAUUUCGCCAUAGGAUGGGACUGCGGUCUAUCAGCUUGUUGGUGAGGUAAUGGCCCACCAAGGCUAUAACAGAUACGGGCUCUGAGAGGAGAAGCCCGGAGAUGGGUACUGAGACACGGACCCAGGCCCUAUGGGGCGCAGCAGGCGAGAAAACUUUGCAAUGUGCGAAAGCACGACAAGGUUAAUCCGAGUGAUUCCUGCUAAAGGAAUCUUUUGUUAGUUAUAAUACCACUAAAGAAUAAGGGGUGGGCAAGUUCUGGUGUCAGCCGCCGCGGUAAAACCAGCACCUCAAGUGGUCAGGAUGAUUAUUGGGCCUAAAGCAUCCGUAGCCGGCUCUGUAAGUUUUCGGUUAAAUCCAUAUGCUCAACAUAUGGGCCGCCGGAAAUACUACAAAGCUAGGGAGUGGGAGAGGUAGACGGUACUCCGUAGGAAGGGGUAAAAUCCUUUGAUCUAUGGAUGACCACCUGUGGCGAAGGCGGUCUACCAGAACACGUUCGACGGUGAGGGAUGAAAGCUGGGGGAGCAAACCGGAUUAGAU